AGAAGCAUGGGUUGGGAAAAACACUUGUUCCUGUACGUAUACAGCUAUUUCAAUUAAGGUUGUUCCCCGAGCUAAGCGGAAAAGUCGAAUACGAGCGCGAAAGGUUGCUGGUAAUCGCUAAUAACUUCAUUCAUUUAUUAGCGAAUCCCAGCAGCCUUUCGCGCUCGUAUUCGACUUUUCCGCUUUGCUCGGGGGACAAUCUUAAUUGAAAUAGCGGUAUAACUGUAUAACUGGUGUAUACAAUUGCGCAACCUACUCGAAAAUAUCACUAGCCUCCGAAAAAACUUCAUUUAUAUGAAACUUCAAGUUGGAAACAAAAUUUAUUAAACUUCAAACAAAUACAUAAUACGUUUCGGG